UACGUAGGGUGCAAGCGUUAAUCGGAAUUACUGGGCGUAAAGCGUGCGCAGGCGGUUCGUUAAGUCAGAUGUGAAAGCCCCGAGCUCAACUUGGGAACUGCAUUUGAAACUGGCGGGCUGGAGUGUGGCAGAGGGGGGGUGGAAUUCCACGUGUAGCAGUGAAAUGCGUAGAGAUGUGGAGGAACACCGAUGGCGAAGGCAGCCCCCCUGGGCCAACACUGACGCUCAGGCACGAAAGCGUGGGGAGCAAACAGG
rnacentral:rRNA from 1 species